rnacentral:rRNA from 1 species
AAGCUCGUAGUUGAAUUUCGGGAUUAGUACGUCGGUCGUGCCUUAGGUACGUACUGGUGUUACUGGUUCCUACCUUCUGACGAACCAUCAUGUCAUUAAUUUGGUGUGGUGGGGAAUCAGGACAGUUACUUUGAAAAAAUUAGAGUNUUUAAAGCAGGCUCGCGCUUGAAUACAUUAGCAUGGAAUAAUGAAAUAGGACGUUGAUCCUAUUUUGUUGGUUUCUAGGAUUGACGUAAUGAUUAAUAGGGAUAGUUGGG